rnacentral:rRNA from 1 species
CCUACGGGAGGCAGCAGUGGGGAAUAUUGGACAAUGGGCGAAAGCCUGAUCCAGCCAUGCCGCGUGUGUGAAGAAGGCCUUCGGGUUGUAAAGCACUUUCAGUGGGGAAGAAAGCCUUGGGGCUAAUACCCUCGAGGAAGGACAUUACCCACAGAAGAAGCACCGGCUAACUCCGUGCCAGCAGCCGCGGUAAUACGGAGGGUGCGAGCGUUAAUCGGAAUUACUGGGCGUAAAGCGCGCGUAGGCGGUCUGAUAAGCCGGUUGUGAAAGCCCCGGGCUCAACCUGGGAACGGCAUCCGGAACUGUCAGGCUAGAGUGCAGGAGAGGAAGGUAGAAUUCCCGGUGUAGCGGUGAAAUGCGUAGAGAUCGGGAGGAAUACCAGUGGCGAAGGCGGCCUUCUGGACUGACACUGACGCUGAGGUGCGAAAGCGUGGGUAGCAAACAGGAUUAGAUACCCUAGUAGUC